rnacentral:rRNA from 1 species
AGAGUUUGAUCAUGGCUCAGGACGAACGCUGGCGGCGUGCCUAAUACAUGCAAGUCGAACGAAGCUUUCUUUCACCGAAUGCUUGCAUUCACCGAAAGAAGCUUAGUGGCGAACGGGUGAGUAACACGUAGGCAACCUGCCCAAAAGAGGGGGAUAACACUUGGAAACAGGUGCUAAUACCGCAUAACCAUGAACACCGCAUGAUGUUCGUGUAAAAGACGGCUUUUGCUGUCACUUUUGGAUGGGCCUGCGGCGUAUUAACUUGUUGGUGGGGUAACGGCCUACCAAGGUGAUGAUACGUAGCCGAACUGAGAGGUUGAUCGGCCACAUUGGGACUGAGACACGGCCCAAACUCCUACGGGAGGCAGCAGUAGGGAAUCUUCCACAAUGGACGAAAGUCUGAUGGAGCAACGCCGCGUGAAUGAAGAAGGCCUUCGGGUCGUAAAAUUCUGUUGUCAGAGAAGAAUGUGCGUGAGAGUAACUGUUCACGUAUUGACGGUAUCUGACCAGAAAGCCACGGCUAACUACGUGCCAGCAGCCGCGGUAAUACGUAGGUGGCAAGCGUUGUCCGGAUUUAUUGGGCGUAAAGGGAACGCAGGCGGUCUUUUAAGUCUGAUGUGAAAGCCUUCGGCUUAACCGAAGUAGUGCAUUGGAAACUGGAAGACUUGAGUGCAGAAGAGGAGAGUGGAACUCCAUGUGUAGCGGUGAAAUGCGUAGAUAUAUGGAAGAACACCAGUGGCGAAAGCGGCUCUCUGGUCUGUAACUGACGCUGAGGUUCGAAAGCGUGGGUAGCAAACAGGAUUAGAUACCCUGGUAGUCCACGCCGUAAACGAUGAGUGCUAAGUGUUGGAGGCUUUCCGCCCUUCAGUGCUGCAGCUAACGCAUUAAGCACUCCGCCUGGGGAGUACGGUCGCAAGACUGAAACUCAAAGGAAUUGACGGGGGCCCGCACAAGCGGUGGAGCAUGUGGUUUAAUUCGAAGCAACGCGAAGAACCUUACCAGGUCUUGACAUCUUCUGACAAUUCCAGAGAUGGAACGUUCCCUUCGGGGACAGAAUGACAGGUGGUGCAUGGUUGUCGUCAGCUCGUGUCGUGAGAUGUUGGGUUAAGUCCCGCAACGAGCGCAACCCUUAUUGUCAGUUGCCAUCAUUAAGUUGGGCACUCUGGCGGGACUGCCGGUGACAAACCGGAGGAAGGUGGGGAUGACGUCAAAUCAUCAUGCCCCUUAUGACCUGGGCUACACACGUGCUACAAUGGACGGUACAACGAGUCGCUAACUCGCGAGGGCAAGCUAAUCUCUUAAAGCCGUUCUCAGUUCGGAUUGCAGGCUGCAACUCGCCUGCAUGAAGUCGGAAUCGCUAGUAAUCGCGAAUCAGCAUGUCGCGGUGAAUACGUUCCCGGGCCUUGUACACACCGCCCGUCACACCAUGAGAGUUUGUAACACCCAAAGUCGGUGGGGUAACCUUUUGGAGCCAGCCGCCUAAGGUGGGACAGAUGAUUGGGGUGAAGUCGUAACAAGGUA